rfam:Actinomyces cardiffensis F0333 genomic scaffold SCAFFOLD2, whole genome shotgun sequence.
AGUCAGCUCCGGGGUCGGUGUAAUUCCGAACCGGCGGUGAAAGUCCGCGACCCGCUCGCAUAGAGGGCGGUUGAAUCGGUGUAAUUCCGAUACCGACGGUGAAAGUCCGGAUGGGAGGAGCAUGAG